rnacentral:tRNA from 1 species
UCUCCUAUAGCUCAGUCGGAUAGAGCGCUGUACUUAUAGACAGUAUAGGCAAUGCGGAAGUCGGCGGUUCGAGCCCGCCUAGGAGCA